rnacentral:rRNA from 1 species
ACUUUCAACAACGGAUCUCUUGGUUCUCGCAUCGAUGAAGAACGCAGCGAAAUGCGAUAUGUAGUGUGAAUUGCAGAAGUAUGUGAAUCAUCGAAUCUUUGAACGCAAAUUGCACUCUCUGGUAUUUCGGGAAGUAUGCCUGUUUGAGGGUCGCUU